rnacentral:rRNA from 1 species
GCUAAGAAUCUUCCGCAAUGGGCGAAAGCCUGACGGAGCGACGCCGCGUGAAUGAUGAAGGCCGAAAGGUUGUAAAGUUCUUUUCUUUGCGAGGAAUAAGCGGUAGAGGAAAUGCUAUCGUGAUGACAUUAGCAGAGGAAUAAGCCCCGGCCAAUUACGUGCCAGCAGCCGCGGUAAUACGUAUGGGGCAAGCGUUGUUCGGAAUCAUUGGGCGUAAAGGGCGUGUAGGCGGUUCUGCAAGCUUGGUGUGAAAUAUCCCGGCUUAACCGGGAGGGUGCGCUGAGAACUGCAGGACUUGAGUUUUUGGGGGGAAGCUGGAAUUCCAGGUGUAGGAGUGAAAUCUGUAGAUAUCUGGAAGAACACCGAUGGCGAAGGCAAGCUUCUAUCAAAAGACUGACGCUGAGGCGCGAAAGCGUGGGGAGCAAACAGGAUUAGAUACCCCUGUAGUCC